GAUGAAGAACGCAGCGAAAUGCGAUAAGUAAUGUGAAUUGCAGAAUUCAGUGAAUCAUCGAAUCUUGAACGCACAUUGCGCCCCCUGGUAUUCCGGGGGGCAUGCCUGUUCGAGCGUCAUUUCACCACUCAAGCCUCGCUUGGUAUUGGGCAACGCGGUCCGCCGCGUGCCUCAAAUCGACCGGCUGGGUCUUCUGUCCCCUAAGCGUUGUGGAAACUAUUCGCUAAAGGGUGUUCGGGAGGCUACGCCGUAAAACAACCCCAUUUCUAAGGUUGACCUCGGAUCAGGUAGGGAUACCCGCUGAACUUAAGCAUAUCAAUAAGCGGAGGA
rnacentral:misc_RNA from 1 species